GUACUUGAUGGUGGUCUGUCCUUCUCUUUCGUUCUAUACAUGAAAUUAGUUAAUGUUCCAAGCCAUAGCCCAUUUUCAUCAUCACCAGCAUCUGAGGAUUGCCGUUCGCAGUACCAGCACAGCAAGGCCAUUUUGGUUAUUGUUACAAGGCCAGAU